rnacentral:misc_RNA from 1 species
GAUGAAGAACGUAGCGGAAUGCGAUAAGUAAUGUGAAUUGCAGAAUUCAGUGAAUCAUCGAAUCUUUGAACGCACAUUGCGCCCCCUGGUAUUCCGGGGGGCAUGCCUGUCCGAGCGUCAUUACAACCCUCAAGCUCAGCUUGGUGUUGGGCCCCGCCGCCCCGGCGGGCCCUAAAGUCAGUGGCGGUGCCGUCCGGCUCCGAGCGUAGUAAUUCUUCUCGCUCUGGAGGUCCGGUCGUGUGCUCGCCAGCAACCCCCAAUUUUUUUCAGGUUGACCUCGGAUCAGGUAGGGAUACCCGCUGAACUUAAGCAUAUCAAUAAGCGGAGGA